rnacentral:rRNA from 1 species
UAGGGAAUCUUCGNUAAUGGACGGAAGUCUGACCGAGCAACGCCGCGUGAGUGAAGAAGGUUUUCGGAUCGUAAAGCUCUGUUGUAAGAGAAGAACGAGUGUGAGAGUGGAAAGUUCACACUGUGACGGUAUCUUACCAGAAAGGGACGGCUAACUACGUGCCAGCAGCCGCGGUAAUACGUAGGUCCCGAGCGUUGUCCGGAUUUAUUGGGCGUAAAGCGAGCGCAGGCGGUUAGAUAAGUCUGAAGUUAAAGGCUGUGGCUUAACCAUAGUACGCUUUGGAAACUGUUUAACUUGAGUGCAAGAGGGGAGAGUGGAAUUCCAUGUGUAGCGGUGAAAUGCGUAGAUAUAUGGAGGAACACCGGUGGCGAAAGCGGCUCUCUGGCUUGUAACUGACGCUGAGGCUCGAAAGCGUGGGGAGCAAACAGGAUUAGAUACCCUGGUAGUCCACGCCGUAAACGAUGAGUGCUAGGUGUUAGACCCUUUCCGGGGUUUAGUGCCGCAGCUAAACGCAUUAAGCACUCCGCCUGGGGAGUACGACCGCAAGGUUG